GGGAUUAGAUACCCCACUAUGCUUAGCCUUAAACCCAGAUGUUAGAUUUACAAGCAACAUCCGCCAGGGUACUACAAGCGCUAGCUUAAAACCCAAAGGACUUGACGGUGUCUCAGACCCACCUAGAGGAGCCUGUUCUAGAACCGAUAACCCCCGUUAAACCUCACCACCCCUUGUUUAACCCGCCUAUAUACCGCCGUCGCAAGCUUACCCUGUGAAGGUCUCAUAGUAAGCAAAAUGGGGAAACCCCAAAACGUCAGGUCGAGGUGUAGCUUAUGAGGUGGGAAGAAAUGGGCUACAUUUUCUAUAUCAGAAUAUACGAACACCACUAUGAAAUUUAGUGCUCGAAGGUGGAUUUAGUAGUAAAAAACAAAUAGAGAGUCUUUUUGAACCAGGCUCUGAGACGCGCACACACCGCCC
rnacentral:rRNA from 1 species